GUAUGAUUCCUUCUGGUACUCUAAUUUUUUUUCUUUGAUAUUUCCUUAUUUCCUUUUCAUGUCUAUAACAUUAAUGUUUGUUUGAAUGACGUACGCGCAUCUAUCUGGGUUUUAGCCCCUGUUUCAGCUUGAUAGCAUUUGGGGACAAUGAUAUAUUAUUGGUAGCAUUUGGGGACAUGAUAACAUUUGAGCACGGUAUUAGUAGGGAGGGAAUUAAUUCAGCUACGUAGUACGGUAUUAGUAGGGAGAAAAGUUUACCCCCUAUCACUCCUAUUCAUACUGUGUCUAUUUUCUGAAGUAGGCUAUACCUAGAGAGUCUUCUACAAGCAAUUUCGCCGACAUAUUUCUUGAUUGUAUCUUCCUAUGCUCAACCGUGUAUAGUAUUUUGUUUGACCAAAGUUUGAUUCAUUUGAGAUUUCAGGGGAGUUAAAGAAAGUGCUUUCAGGGCGGACGGAACUACACCACGAGGAUCAAAAGCUGUUGUUCCGUAAAAAGGAGGGGGAUUAAUUCAGCUUUCCCCUUUAUUUGAUAUAUUCUCUUGGUCAUGAUCCGUAAGGAAUUGGUGGAGCAUUAAUUAGGGAAAAAGCAGGUUCCAAUGUCCAAAUUUCUCAUUGUUCGAUCGUACGCGUGAUUUAGUGGUAGCGUCAAUGCUGUAGAGCGGUAGAGGUCUGGCCUUGAAUACUUUUCUAGGGAUGAAGAUUUCACGGGUGGAAGGUUGGAGUUAUUUUAUUGUUGAAAGCAGCUUUGUUGGAGCUUUGAAGAUAGACAAAGCUUCAUAGUGAAUGUGGGUGUUUGUUAAAAGAAAAAUGUAACUGUUAUCAUGCGGUUGGGAAUCUAUGACUUAUGAAUUCAACUAUUUUGUGGAGUACAAUUGGUUAGUUCUCCAUGUUGAUGUUAUAGGUAAGUUUGUUUGUUCUUCAUGUUGUGUUACUCUAAUGAGUGGAUGAUUUAUAUGGUUACCAAUUUUUAUUCUUCUUUUUCUGUUCUGAACAGAAGUACUAAA